GUCGAGAAUAGUCUACAAUGGACGAAAGUCUGAUAGUGCGACGCCGCGUGAACGAGGAAGCCCUUCGGGGUGUAAAGUUCUUUUAUAUGUGAGCAAUGCUUUAUAUGUGAAUAGCAUAUAGGGAGAGAUAUUAGCAUAUGAAUAAGCAACGGCUAACUCCGUGCCAGCAGCCGCGGUAACACGGGGGUUGCAAGCGUUGUCCGGAAUUACUAGGCGUAAAGGGCAGGUAGGCGGAUACAUAAGUUUGAUGUUAAAGGCAGCGGCUCACCCGCUGUACGGCAUUAGAUACUGUGUAUCUGGAAUGCGGUUGGGGAAGACAGAAUUCCUGGUGUAGCGGUGGAAUGCGCAGAGAUCAGGAGGAAUACCAAAGGCGAAGGCAGUCUUCUAAGCCGUAAUUGACGCUAAACUGCGAAGGUGUGGGUAUCAAACAGGAUUAGAUACCCGGGUAGUCC
rnacentral:rRNA from 1 species